rnacentral:rRNA from 1 species
CCUACGGGUGGCAGCAGUGAGGAAUAUUGGUCAAUGGACGAGAGUCUGAACCAGCCAAGUAGCGUGAAGGAUGACUGCCCUAUGGGUUGUAAACUUCUUUUAUAUGGGAAUAAAAUGUUCCACGUGUGGGAUUUUGUAUGUACCAUAUGAAUAAGGAUCGGCUAACUCCGUGCCAGCAGCCGCGGUAAUACGGAGGAUUCGAGCGUUAUCCGGAUUUAUUGGGUUUAAAGGGAGCGUAGGUGGAUUGUUAAGUCAGUUGUGAAAGUUUGCGGCUCAACCGUAAAAUUGCAGUUGAAACUGGCAGUCUUGAGUACAGUAGAGGUGGGCGGAAUUCGUGGUGUAGCGGUGAAAUGCUUAGAUAUCACGAAGAACUCCGAUUGCGAAGGCAGUUCACUGGACUGCAACUGACACUGAGGCUCGAAAGUGUGGGUAUCAAACAGUAUUAGAUACCCGGGUAGUC